GGUUAGUGAAUUAUUUUUGGUAAGAAAGUAUAAAAACAAAAAGAGAAAAAAUAAAACAAAACACGAAAAAAAAAUCAAGAAAAGAGUGAAAAAUCUCUAGAAUUGUCCAGUUUAAACAUCAUGUCACGGAACGGUAAACGUCCUAUCGAUCAGCAGCCGAAACUACCCAUCUUUUACCAGAAUAUUAUAAGAAAACGAAAACGAUAACCCAUCUCCCUACUGCCUUCGGGCAUAAUUUUCCCAUAUCAACAGCGCCACCUGGACAAAAAAAGCCGUACUUUCUUAUAUGAAUCGAUGUUUGCUUUGCAACUACAUUAAUUUACACUCUCCGAGAACGGAAGUAACGGCGGUGGCUGUGAGAGCGUUAGCGAUAUUGCGAGUUUUUCUCUCUUUUUCGUGUCUUAAAAAGCACGACGUCGUCGUAUUUAAUGGAUGCAGAAAAUAGAGCUGAUUGAGGACUAGAUGAUACAGAAAUAAGAUGAAAAAGAGAUAAAUUAAAAUGAAGGAAAGGAAUAAAAACGAAGGAAAUACGAAAGAUUACUACGUACCUAACCUAACUUUGGCAAAGGACCAAAUUGACGAAGGGAAAUGCUUUUACUAAUUUGGCCUUUCUGUCAUCACUUCUCUUUUGGUGAGAUGUCUCUUAAUUAGAAUGACAUAUACGUUCGUCUAGGCUGAGAAAGCUGACAAAACAUUCAAUAUAGUAUAAAAUGAAACCGUGGAAUUUUUAUGUUUUAUUCACCUUCGAUUAGUCGAAAUUCUCUUUGUCAAAUUAGAUUUGAUGAGGAGAAAAGGCCCUAACUCGGUGGGCCUAUUCGCUAGAUUCUUCUUUAAUAUAGCUUGUAAUGAACUUUAUAGAAACUGCCGAAUAGUUGGAACGGAACAGAUUAGACGUCGGUCGUCCCCAUUGAAAGAAGCCAAUAAUAGUUAUUUUGGUGGGUAAACAGCGGGAAAAAAAUUCUAAAAUGUUUGAUUUCUUUUGGCAGCCAAAAUGCUUUUCACCUUAACGUUUCUAGUUUUUUUAAACCGAUUUAGUUAAUCUAAUGAGAGUAAACAUAUAGUAUGUUCACUGUAUUAAAGGAUAGUUGUAAUCUCAUGUAAACAAACGAACAGUGAGCAAAUGUACAAAUGAAGAGUACUAAGGAUUCUAUUGGGGAUGUUUGUAGUAAUAUUAUAGUAAGAGCGUGGGAGUAUAGAAGAAGGAAGAUCUAGAGGAAAAGGAAUAAUACUAGACAUUCUCACGUGCUCUAAAUAAUUAGAAUUUAUGGGUAAGCUUAAUGUUAUUUGCAUAUUGGCCCGGUAGUGGAUCGAGAAACGAACCAGUUACGUACCAGAAGGAGCAGGAGAAAAACACACCAGGUUUAUAAAAUAGACAACUCCAACACGGUGUAAGAUUGGAGAAAAAUUACGAAAAACGGGCUGAAAAGAGUGAAAAAAAGAGUGAGACAAACAGAUAGAUGAAAUGAAAUCGGCCUAAAGUUGGAUGACAAAAGAGGAUCCUGACAAAUCUCUUAAAUCCCUUAUAGAAACUGAGUAAUCCUUGUUUGCACAUAACGCUUAACAGUAGCAGAUUGCAUUGAUUGUGCAUAGUACAUGAAAUCGAAAGAAAUUCCGUAACCAUCAUGCAAUUAACGAAGGAGAAAAGAGACCGACGUCUUUUAUUUAUUAAUUGAGCCUGUAGUCGGUUAUUGUUCUCCGUCGAUUCGGUGAAUGUUGAUGUUAAACGAAGGGGGAGGAGAGUAGAAAAUAGAAAAUUAGCCGUAUUUUUGUUAUCGAUCGUCGGAUCAAUAUAUUUUGUCGGGGUGCGGAGCGUUCUUUGACUUCCAUAAAUCACUUCCUUCGUAUGAAAGGAAAGUGCGAAGGAAGAACUCACCCUGAAGAGUUACAAAUAUUUAAAUAGGUAAUCUGAGAAACAUUGCCUAAGAGAAUAAAAAGAGGAGGUCGAGGAGAGGAGUUGAGUAUAGGGAAUAGAGUGGAUGGAGAACAAGAAGAUGCAGAGAAGGACCAAGCAUGAGGAAAAUAGAGAAAGAGAGAGAGAGAGAGAGAGAGAGAGUGUGUGUGUGUGUAAGAGAUAGUAGGCGAAAGAGAGCGAGGGAGAGAGGGAGCGAGUAAGGAACAACGAGGGAGAGAAAAAAAAUUAAAAAUAUAGGCAGGAGAGGUAAUAGGUACGGAGGAGAAAAUGAGAUUUAUAGUAGAAGCGUUUUUAUUUUAAUCUAUAAAUAACCUCUAUUUGUUUUCUUUUUCGUAGGCGGUCGAUAAAAUGCCUCAAACGAAGAAGCAAUCGUCGAAUGCAAAUGUGGACGAAGCAUACUACCUUUUCUCAGCCGCAGCCUUAGGUCUUGUGCUAAAUGCAGCCGUUUUAGCCUGUCUGCUGGCUAAGCGCCAACUCCGACGGAUGACUUCGGCAUUCGUCAUGCACAAUUGUCUAUUGGAUCUAAUUAAGAGCGCCUACUGCGUCCCAUUUGCUCACAGCCUACUCAAAGACGUUGCUCCAAGUUUCUGCACGGCUUUGGGCGGUUCUUACGUCGUCAUAGUAACUGCUUCUGGAUUUAAUAUGGUCGCAAUGAUUUGUUGUGAAGCAUAUACUUUCGGUGACAAACAGCGCGAAGGAUUCGGGAGAGAAGCGACGGGUUCGCUUUGUUGUGUUGUCUUUGGUAUAGUUAUGGUCUACAUUGGUAGCAUAAUUAUCCAUUUGGGACCUACGAUUAUCGGAGGCAACUUUAAUUAUAAUAAAUUGAUUGGAAACUGCAUUUUCGUGUAUGGACCUAUCAAGUCCUACGUCGUUCACGCCAUGUGGAUAGCCAUUAUGACAUUAGCCAUGAUAGCUGCCGUCUAUUAUCUGCUCUUCUUCUAUAGACAUUUGCACGCCAGCGCCAUCUGUGACACUAGGCAAUCGCGUGAUACUGUACAGGAGUCAUUAUCGAGAGCAAGAGUUCUCAUUACAAUCACCGCUUUGUUUAUUUUCUGUUGGUAUCCGUUAUUUAUACUAACAUUGGUCGAUCCAACUUUUAAUCAGCCUACAAGAAUAUAUAAAUUAUUGACUUUCGUCGCCUGGUCGCACUCGUCCCUCAAUCCAGUUAUUUUCCUAUUAUUUGAUAGAAGAAUCGAUUCAUGUCGGAAAAUGUGUUGUUCUUGCGGAUGCAGGCAGGUUCCUAGUCCAAUGCAAGUUCCACCAUCCCUCCGAUUAGCACCGCCCACUGUACAAGUAACACAAAUGUAUCAAAGAGUUGGCUGUCGAUUAUGUCAGCAAGGAAGAACUCAUUCAGAGCGAAUGUGUAACGGUUCUAUGCAGAAAACCAAUUCCGAUAACUUACCAAGUGUUGUUAGGGAUAGAUCAUUUUGUCAGUUGCAUGAUUUAUGAUUUAUAUACGCAAUUUAAUUAUGAAAUAUAUAUCUCUCUAUAUAUAAUUUUAUAUAUUUUGUAUUAUGAAAAAGUUGUCUAUAUAAACAUUUGGUGAACGUUUAAAGCACAUAGGUACAAUAGUACUUAUGGUGUAUAUAGCAGUCUAUACAGUAUAUACUGUACUGUUAAAUGCAUAUAAAAUUAUUAUCGACUCUUUAUUACAAAAAGGAAAAGCUUUCCUUUUUGCGAAAUCGAAUCAUUCUAAACAAAGUUGAUAUAUAUAAAUAUAACAGAAAAAGAGAAUAAUAAUAAAAG
rnacentral:misc_RNA from 1 species